CGCCGCCACUCACCCGCGCGCCGGCCGAGCCGAGCCGCCGCCGCCACCACCGGGCCGGGCCGGGUCGGGCCUGCGCGCCCCGCGCUACACAAAGUGACGGCCCCAGAGCUGCGCGGCGGCGGCGCGUGGGCACCGGAAGUGCCGCCGCCGGCCCCGCCCCGCCCGCGCACACGGGGGGGGCACUUCCGGUCACGCGGGGUCGAGCGCGGCUCCCGCAGGGGGCGUGCGUGGGGGCAAAGGAAGCUCCGCGCGUGCGGGGGAGCCUUUCGGCCCCGGCCCGCCCCGGGGGACUUCAGUGUCCCAUGCCUGGGGACCGCAGCGCCCUCUGACCCGAGACCCCAACCCCGGGGACCCCGGUGCCCCCUGCCCCGAGACCCCGGUCCCACCCCUGGGGACCCCAUCGCCCCCUGCCUCCAGACCCCAGCCACACCCCUGGGGGCCGCAGCGCCCCCUGCCCCGAGACCCCGGCCCCACCCUGAGGGACCCUGCUGCUCCACCCCUGGGCACCGCAGCUCCCGCUGCCCUGGAGACGCCGGCCCCACCCCUGGGGACCCCGGCGCCCUCUGCCCCUUGAGACGUGCGCGAGGUCCCGCGGCCCUGAGCGCGCGCGCCCCGUCCCGAAACCCGGCUCCCCUUCCUCAUCCGACCAUGAUUCAGGGAGCGGCUGCUGGCUGCCAGACCUGCCCUCGGCACCCUCCCCAGGCCCCACGACGAUGGAGGGAGGCGAUGACCCCCUACGGGGUCUCGUGGAGGCGUCCCUCUGGCCAGCGUGCUGUGAGACUCAGACGAGGUGGGGCGAUCCCUGGCCGCUGAUGGAUCGCCCAGACUGGAACCAGUGGGCCCGGGGUCCACAGCUCACCGGCCCUGCUUCCUGGGCCACUAGUGCGGGCAGGGCCAACGCUGGGGAACCCAGCAGAGUCUGAUGGUGAGCUCUUGCUGCCACCGAGGUCGCGCCCUUUUUCAGCCUGGGUGCAGCCCCACUCAGGAAUGGUGUGGCCCCGCUCCUCCCCCAGCUCCCACCCUACGGAUACCAUUGCUCUUCUAUUUUCUGGAGUGUCCCCAGCCUUGGACCCUCAAGACAGGCAGCAACCUGGCUGGGCCCGGGGCAGGUUCACAGCUUCUCCCCUGCGGAACCUCAACCCCGACCUGGUGGACUUCUCAGGCCCACGGAGGACUCACUCCUCUGACCCGCAGAGGGCUGCAGCUCCCGCCCAAGCCAGCCUUGCCCAGCCCAAAGCGCCAGCCGCCUGCCACCUCCAACAUCUCGAUGAUUGUGUUUGGUUCCUGGUGUUUUAAAAACGGUUUAAAAUUAAUGACUAACACUUACAAAUUGAGAGUCUCUUGUAAAAAGAUUUGAAAAAUCAGAAGAUCUGGCAACACGGAGCCCGUGCUUUGCAGGGCGCCGGUCACAGGGGCUGCGAAGUGACCAGCCCCUGUGGAUGAGGCUGGACUGUGCCUCUCCCUUUAAUGCCCGCUUCUGCAUGGCGCCUCCUGUCUGGUCCUUUGAGUCUCUACGAUUUGGAGCCCCAGACGAGGUUUUCGAAGGCACCAGGCUCGCCCCUCAACAGGACCUGCCCUCCAUGAGGUUGUCUCUGCCCAAAUCUCCCCCUCAGCUGACUGCAGUCCUCCAGAGGCCAAGCAGAGAGCUGCUACCCGUGGGCCCCUUGGUUUCCUCCCCUCUCGAAGGGUCUCCUUCCCACAGCCCCUGGGAGCCUGUCUUUCCUCUGGUCCUGUGACAGGCAGAAUCCCCAAACCUCAUCCCGCCCAGGUCACUGAGUGAUACAGGCAUGCGGAGGCCCCACGCUCUGCCCAGUUCAGUGUCUCCCAGCCAUGUUCCGGAAAGUGCCGUGUGCUUGACUGCUUGGGUCUUGGGAAUCUCACAGUCCUGCCAAGGCCUGGCCACUGGCCCUCCCUGGCUGCCCCUUCCCGGGGGUUCUCAGGUCCUCAGCAACAUCCCUCACUCCCUCCGUGGCCAGCAGCCUGAUCCCUGCUUUUCCUCGGUUCUCAUCGGGGAUUCUUGAUCGGGGUGUGUGCUCACUCGUUCCCACGCAGCGUGUGCCUCUCACACCCAUCGAGUGCUGGGCCCCGUGCUCACUCCAGGGGUUCCUGCGGAGCUCAGGCCCUGCUGUCUAAUCAGCGGGGAGGGCCAGGGAGAUGGACGCCUUCCUGUGGGGUCCCGCGGCUCACCAGGCCCUAAGACUCGUGUGUAGAGGGGUGUGAGAACCCGAUGGGGGGCAGAAGGGCUGCGGAUUGAGGCAUGAAAGCUGAUGGGCGAUCCCAGUGCUCUUGGGGGGGAGAGGUUAGCAGGGGUGGGGACAGGCAAGAGCAAAAUGGAGCAGGCCACCAGGGCUCCCUGCGUUCCCAGGACUGCCUGUGGUGAGGGCAGGCUCAGCUGAGGCACCAGCCCCACCCACAGGGAGACGCCAUUCAGGGCCGCGUACCACGCGGGCUCCCAGAACUCAAAAUUACCAUCGUGCCUGGCAGUGGCAGAGAGCCCUUUGAUAACAAGGGUAAACGCAAAGGUGCCAGUGUUCCAUGCUAUGGAUGAUUGGGAGUCGGUGGGAUUUGAUGCCAUUUUUUGACGUUCUGGGCUGGGAUCUAUCUGUGAUCAAGUCCUGCCUCUGCGAGGGACAGCUGAUGGGCCAGAAACACGAGGAACGUCAGAGGAAGGGACCCACUCCCACUCGAGGCCUCUGCCAACAUGAGGCAGCCCUGGGAGAGAGAGAAGGCGAGUGAGCCUGUAUCAGCAGCUGGUGCACCCUCCACCCAGCUGCUUAUGAGCCAAGAGGAGAGAGGUGACUGGGAGUGUGUCCCGGAGCAAGGCCUGCCCAGGCCUGUGCACGCUGAGAGAGCAGGAGGCAACAAGAACAAGAAAAACACCCAAACUGGACAUCGCCACUCAGCCCAGCCAGCGACUGACCUUUCUAGAGGUUGGGAAGUCCAAGAUCAAGGCGUUGGCAGAUCCAUUGUCUGAGAGAGCCUCUCCCUGCCCCAGUCUCUCCCUCGGAUUUCUGCAUCUGCCCAGGCCCUGAGUCCAUCCUUGCCUCCUGCCUGGCAGUGCAGGGCAGCCUAGGGGAAAGGGCGGACAGGAGGAGCAGAGAUGACAAGCAGAAAGAAACAGCCAGGAGUGGGGUCUGGCCUGCAGACAGACGAGGCACGAGGGUUUUAGCAAAAAUCCCAUCAAGUCGGUUUAGCCAGAAUCUCCAUCCUCGAUAUUUGAUCACCCUCCAUAUCUGAUCGAAGUCUCCCCACACCAUCCCCAGGAGAGUUCUGGUCACCCUGGCCUGCCUUCAGCAAGAAUCCAGUAGGGUCUGUUUAACCAGAGUCCCCCAAACCCUACCCCUGAUGUUUCUCUUAGUGAUUUUCCAUCCGCUGACUUCCUCCCACCUGCUCCUUGGCUGUGAAUCCACACUCGUCCUUGCCGUAUGUGGAAUUGAGUCCAGUUCUAUUCUGAAGUCUCUUUUCCCCUAUUGCAUUAGAUCUUAAAUAAAAUCUGCUUUAGCCACUUUAAUAAUCAUCUGGCUCUGGUUCUCUUUAACGGUGGCC
ensembl:lncRNA